AGCUUUGCGCAGUGGCAGUAUCGUAGCCAAUGAGGUUUAUACGAGGCGCGAUUAUUGCUAAUUGAAAUGACCUAGAUAGUUUGUUGAAAAGGCAGAUUCCUGCAACUGGCCCUAAACCUACUAAAACUCUCUACUCUAAAUCUGUAUUUCUUGACCUCACUUGAG
rnacentral:snRNA from 1 species